GAGCUUCUUGCGGUGAAAGAGGUUUCAAUAGCUGCAAAUAGCGCUUCAAAGAAAGCACAAGAAUAUAUAGGUGAACUUGAAAAAGAAGUCAAUCUAUUGAAAAAUCUCUCACAUCCAAACAUUGUGAGAUAUUUGGGAACUGCUAGAGAGGAGGAUUCACUUAAUAUAUUACUGGAGUUUGUGCCUGGUGGAUCCAUUUC